AGAAAAAACAAAAAAAAAAACAAAAAAAACUGAUAAGGGAAGAGAGGUUUUAUAAUUUGACCUGAAGCCUCGGGCGGCUGAGACUGAGAGAGGAAAAACCAUGGAGGACCAUCAUCUUCCCGAGACUUUGAAACCCUUCUUUCACAGAGCCACUGAAGCACAGGAGCGAUUGGCUAAAGCUUGAAGCUGCUGUUGCGUCGACCAAGACAGUUUCUUUCAGAAACUGUUCCCAAUAAUCUCUGGAACAAUUGGUUGAGGAGUUACGUGAUAUAAUAUACUCUUUUUUUUUUUCAGACAUUCCGGAUGCUAAACUUGUUGAGGAAAUUGCUCAAAUUCAGUCGAAGCUUGAAGAAGCUAACGCCACUGUGAUGCAAGAACAGAGGAAGGUGAAGGAAGUGACCAUUGAAAACGAUAAGCAAAAGUACCGUAUAUUGCAACUUGUGCGGGCGCUAAAGGAUGCUGAUGAGAAGCUUGAGAAACUCUCUAAUAAGUGAUUUCAUUCUUCUUUCUCUUUAUUCUGAUUCGUUUUCUUUAACAUCCUUACUGAGGAAAGGAUACUCUCUACUCAGUAAUAUUAUUUUUAACUGACAAGGUAUCAUAAAGGAUUGAGUUUUGCUACUCUUAUCCUGCUCUGUGUUUGUGUGUGUAUCAUAAGCGAAUCUGCAGUUUCUAGUUUCGCAAUGUCCAUAUGGUGAUUUAAUGAAGAUAUUUAUACCA